rnacentral:rRNA from 1 species
UGAGGAACAUGACCUUCGGCGGGGGAUAGCCGGCCCAACGGCCGGGUAAUACCGCGUACGACCACAUGGGGACAUCCCUGAGUGGUGAAAGCAGCAAUGCGCCGAUGGAGUGCCUCGCGGCCUAUCAGCUAGCUGGUGAGGUAACGGCUCACCAAGGCAACGGACGGGUAGCUGGUCUGAGAGGAUGGCCAGCCACAUUGGGACUGAGACACGGCCCAGAUCCGUACGGG